UAUCUAGUGGCAUUUUUUUAUAUGCCACUAAAAGCCCAAAUUUUCUUAUGCGGUGCAAUAGCCCACUGGGCGCGCUUAUUUGGGAAAAAUGAAAAUCAAUCGCGCUUCAGUUUUUUCCAACCCCCAAAAAACUCUCUUCAGACUCUCAUAGUCUCAUCUAAGUCAAAACCCUCAUCUCCUUUGGACAUUUUCUCUCUCAUCUACAAUUUUAUCUCUUCAAAAUUAAAGAUUCAAUCCUUGUCAUAAUAGUGUUGAAAUUCUUAUUGUCUUUACAAGGAUUAUCGCUCACAAUUGAACAAUUGAGGUGGAGCUUUGAGGCGGCUGCUGCAAUGGUGGUGGCGGCAUCAAGGGUUUAAUUGUCGAUUGUUAGUAGAUCUUCUUUGAUCUUGAAGGUAUACUCAAAGUUCCUUUUCUUUUCUUUUUAUUUGAUAAGAGUUCAAGUUCAUAUUUAAGGUUUGAUUUUAUUUAAUUUUAUUUUUGUAAUUUGUAAGAUUUUAAUUUGAGAUGGUAAUUCGUGUCUAAUGGAUGAAUUAAGUUUCAAAAUUGGUUUCAUUUAAGUUGAAUUACUAAAGUUUUUUACUUUGCUGCCAUUUCUAUUUGGUCUAAUAUGCUUAUUGAGGCAAGCUUAUUGGCAAAAGUAAUGGAACUUUCCUCAUUUGUGUUUGAAAUUGAGCCUUGAACACAAAUAAAUUUGUAGUCUUAAAACAACCUCAUUUAAUUUUGUACUCUUGACAAGGUGAAACAUGUACGGACCACUAAAAGAGAAUAACCCAAUUUAUUGAUCUUUCAGGAUUUGGGAAGGAGGUAAUGGAACUUUCCUCACUUGUGUUUGCUAAUGUUUUUAAAUAAUGCAGAGAUCAAUAUGUAAUUUUUUUUCAUGAGAAAUAACCCGUUUUAUUGGUCUGUAAUAAUGCAGAUGAUUGGAGAUUAUUUCCCGAAAAAAGAAGAAUAUAGAAACACUUGAUAUUGUGAAGAUAAAUCGAAUGAGUCGUGAGCUACAAGUUAUGGCGCAUACUGGUGGAUCAAAAAGUUUUGCUUGUUAUGCUGAUGAGAAGAUUAUUUUAAUCAAGCGGGGAGAAUUCGUCUAUAUUAUUCGUGAAGGUUUUGAUGCUGAUUUGGAUGCUUGUGAAGAGUACAACAUAGCCUUUGAAAUGAGUUUUUAGAUCUUGUGUACUUUAUAAGCAGUACGAAGUAUGCAUUAGAAGUUCGACAACAGGAAAAAUUGUAAUGAGCAUUUUGUGUACUUUGAAUGA